rnacentral:rRNA from 1 species
AUUGAACGCUGGCGGCAUGCUUUACACAUGCAAGUCGAACGGCAGCGCGGGCUUCGGCCUGGCGGCGCGUGGCGAACGGGUGAGUAAUACAUCGGAACGUGCCCAGUAGUGGGGGAUAGCUCGGCGAAAGCCGGAUUAAUACCGCAUACGACCUGAGGGUGAAAGCGGGGGGUCUUCGGACCUCGCGCUAUUGGGGCGGCCGAUGGCAGAUUAGCUAGUUGGUGGGGUAAAGGCCUACCAAGGCGACGAUCUGUAGCUGGUCUGAGAGGACGACCAGCCACACUGGGACUGAGACACGGCCAAGACUCCUACGGGAGGCAGCAGUGGGGAAUUUUGGACAAUGGGCGAAAGCCUGAUCCAGCAAUGCCGCGUGUGUGAUGAAGGCCUUCGGGUUGUAAAGCACUUUUGGCGGGAACGAAAAGGACUGUGCCAAUACCACGGUUCGAUGACGGUACCCGCAGAAUAAGCACCGGCUAACUACGUG